rnacentral:RNase_P_RNA from 1 species
GAGGAAAGUCCGGACUCCUAAUAGAAUAUAAUAGCUGAGUAAGACUCAGUAUAGGUAACUAUGAGGAUAGUGCCACAGAAACAAACCACUAAUAUUUAGAAAGGGUGCAAAGGUGUGGUAAAAGCACACCAGAAAUAUUUUCAAGAUAUUUGCUCGGUAAACCCCUAAAUGGAGCAAAGUAUAGUUUAUAAUUUUUUAUUCUAUUUAUAUAUAUUUCUUGUAAAUACUGCAGAAAGUUUUUUAUUCUCUUAAGAUCAAUAACUACCCUUUUAAAUCGUUUAUUUUUAAAAGAACAGAAUCCGGCUUAU